CUUAGUUUCAAUGAUUUUAAUGAGAACAUUAAGAAAAGAUUAUGCUCGGUACAGUAAAGAGGAAGAAAUGGAUGAUAUGGAUAGAGACCUAGGAGAUGAAUAUGGAUGGAAACAGGUGCAUGGAGAUGUAUUUAGACCAUCAAGUCACCCACUGAUAUUUUCCUCUCUGAUUGGUUCUGGAUGUCAGAUAUUUGCUGUGUCUCUCAUCGUUAUUAUUGUUGCAAUGAUAGAAGAUUUAUAUACUGAGAGGGGAUCAAUGCUCAGUACAGCCAUAUUUGUCUAUGCUGCUACGUCUCCAGUGAAUGGUUAUUUUGGAGGAAGUCUGUAUGCUAGACAAGGAGGAAGGAGAUGGAUAAAGCAGAUGUUUAUUGGGGCAUUCCUUAUCCCAGCUAUGGUGUGUGGCACUGCCUUCUUCAUCAAUUUCAUAGCCAUUUAUUACCAUGCUUCAAGAGCCAUUCCUUUUGGAACAAUGGUGGCCGUUUGUUGCAUCUGUUUUUUUGUUAUUCUUCCUCUAAAUCUUGUUGGUACAAUACUUGGCCGAAAUCUGUCAGGUCAGCCCAACUUUCCUUGUCGUGUCAAUGCUGUGCCUCGUCCUAUACCGGAGAAAAAAUGGUUCAUGGAGCCUGCGGUUAUUGUUUGCCUGGGUGGAAUUUUACCUUUUGGUUCAAUCUUUAUUGAAAUGUAUUUCAUCUUCACGUCUUUCUGGGCAUAUAAGAUCUAUUAUGUCUAUGGCUUCAUGAUGCUGGUGCUGGUUAUCCUGUGCAUUGUGACUGUCUGUGUGACUAUUGUGUGCACAUAUUUUCUACUAAAUGCAGAAGAUUACCGGUGGCAAUGGACAAGUUUUCUCUCUGCUGCAUCAACUGCAAUCUAUGUUUACAUGUAUUCCUUUUACUACUAUUUUUUCAAAACAAAGAUGUAUGGCUUAUUUCAAACAUCAUUUUACUUUGGAUAUAUGGCGGUAUUUAGCACAGCCUUGGGGAUAAUGUGUGGAGCGAUUGGUUACAUGGGAACAAGUGCCUUUGUCCGAAAAAUCUAUACUAAUGUGAAAAUUGACUAGAGACCCAAGAAAACCUGGAACUUUGGAUCAAUUUCUUUUUCAUAGGGGUGGAACUUGCACAGCAAAAACAAACAAACGCAAGAAGAGAUUUGGGCUUUAACACACUGGGUACUUUGUGGGUCUCUCUUUCGUCGGUGGCUUAAAGUAACAUCUAUUUCCAUUGAUCCUAGGUUCUUCCUGACUGCUUUCUCCAACUGUUCACAGCAAAUGCUUGGAUUUUAUGCAGUAGGCAUUACUACAGUACAUGGCUAAUCUUCCCAAAAACUAGCUCAUUAAAGAUGAAAUAGACCAGCUCUCUUCAGUGAAGAGGACAAAUAGUUUAUUUAAAGCAUUUGUUCCAAUAAAAUAAAUAGAGGGAAACUUGGAUGCUAAAAUUACAUGAAUAGGAAUCUUCCUGGCACUUAGUGUUUCUAUGUUAUUGAAAAAUGAUGUUCCAGAAAGAUUACUUUUUUCCUCUUAUUUUUACUGCCAUUGUCGACCUAUUGUGGGACAUUUUUAUAUAUUGAAUCUGGGUUCUUUUUUGACUUUUUUUUUUUCCCAAUCCAACAGCAUCCUUUUUUU
rnacentral:lncRNA from 1 species